AGAGUUUGAUCAUGGCUCAGAACGAACGCUGGCGGCGUGGAUAAGACAUGCAAGUCGAACGCUAAUUAGAGGGUAGCAAUAUUCUCUAGUUGGAGUGGCGCAAGGGUGCGUAACACGUGGGUAAUCUGCCGUGAAGCCUGGGAUAACUCGCUGAAAGGCGAGCUAAUACCGGAUGUGACUGUUGGGAGGCAUCUUCUGACAUUCGAAGCUGGGGACCGUAAGGCCUGGCACUUCACGAUGAGCCCGCGGCCUAUCAGCUAGUUGGUGAGGUAACGGCUCACCAAGGCUAAGACGGGUAGCUGGUCUGAGAGGACGACCAGCCACACUGGAACUGAGACACGGUCCAGACACCUACGGGUGGCAGCAGUCGAGAAUUUUUCACAAUGGGCGCAAGCCUGAUGGAGCGACGCCGCGUGGGGGAUGAAGGGUUUCGAUCCGUAAACCCCUGUCAUUUGCGAACAAACCUCGUCCGAUAACACCGGACGAGCUGAUAGUAGCGGAAGAGGAAGGGACGGCUAACUCUGUGCCAGCAGCCGCGGUAAUACAGAGGUCCCAAGCGUUGUUCGGAUUCACUGGGCGUAAAGGGUGCGUAGGUGGCCGGGUAAGUUCGGUGUGAAAUCUCGGAGCUCAACUCCGAAAUGGCAUUGAAUACUAUCCGGCUCGAGGGUCGGAGGGGAGACUGGAAUUCUCGGUGUAGCAGUGAAAUGCGUAGAUAUCGAGAGGAACACCAGUGGCGAAGGCGAGUCUCUGGACGACUCCUGACACUGAGGCACGAAAGCCAGGGGAGCAAACAGGAUUAGAUACCCUGGUAGUCCUGGCUGUAAACGGUGCACGUUUGCUGUGAAAGGAAUCGACCCCUUUCGUGGCGAAGCUAACGCGUUAAACGUGCCGCCUGGGGAGUACGGUCGCAAGAUUAAAACUCAAAGAAAUUGACCGGGGCCUGCACAAGCG
rnacentral:rRNA from 1 species